rnacentral:rRNA from 1 species
CGCGUAGGUGGUUAGGUAAGCGAGAUGUGAAAGCCCCGGGCUUAACCUGGGAACGGCAUUUCGAACUGUCUGACUAGAGUAUGGUAGAGGGUAGCGGAAUUUCCUGUGUAGCGGUGAAAUGCGUAGAUAUAGGAAGGAACACCAGUGGCGAAGGCGGCUACCUGGACCAAUACUGACACUGAGGUGCGAAAGCGUGGGGAGCAAACA